AAGACAGCAGGGAUCACUGUUUCAAAAGGUGGAAGACAGUAGGGAUCACUGUUUCAAAAGGUGGAAGACAGUAGGGAUCACUGUUUCAAAAGGUAAGGUGGAAGACAGCAGGGAUCACUGUUUCAAAAGGUGGAAGACAGUAGGGAUCACUGUUUCAAAAGGUAAGGUGGAAGACAGUAGGGAUCACUGUUUCAAAAGGUAAGGUGGAAGACAGUAGGGAUCACUGUUUCAAAAGGUAAGGUGGAAGACAGUAGGGAUCACUGUUUCAAAAGGUAAGGUGGAAGACAG